rnacentral:tRNA from 11 species
AGCGGGGUAGGGGAGCCUGGUUACCCCGCAGGGCUCAUAACCCUGAGGUCGGUGGUUCAAAUCCACCCCCCGCUA